AUUUAUUAUUGCCUCAAUUUCAGAAGUUGUUGUUCUAUUCAGGGAUUCAACUUCUUCCUGUUUCAGUCUUGGAAGGGUGUAUAUGUCCAGGAAUUUACCCAUUUCUUCUAGACUUUCUAGUUAUUUGCACAGAUGUGUGUAUAGUAUUCUUUGAUUGUUAUUUGUAUUUCUGUGGAGUCAGUGGUGAUGUCCCCUUUAUCAUUUUUUAUUGUGUCUAUUUGAUUAUUUUCUAUUUUCUUAGAGGAAGUCAAAUUGUCUUUGUUUGCAGAGGACAUGAUCCUACAUCUAAAAAACCCUUCAUCUCAGCCCCAAAGCUUCUUAAGGUGAUAAGCAACUUGAGCAAAGUCUCAGGAUACAAAAUCAAUGUGCAAAAUUCACAAGCAUUCCUAUAUACCACCAAUAGACAGGCAGAGAGGCAAAUCAUGAAUGAACUCCCAUUCACAACUGUUACAAAGAGAAUAAAAUUCCUAGGAAUACAGCUCACAAGGGAAGUGGCAGGAGCGCCCAGUCCCUGCGUGCACACGGCAGCCGGCAUGGCACACUACAACUUCAAGAAAAUUACGGUGGUGCCGUCUGCCAAGGACUUUAUUGACUUGAAGUUGUCAAAGACUCAACAGAAGACUCCAGCUGUUACUCAUAAACAUUGCCAAAUUCAUCGCAUUGGACAUUUUUACAUGAGAAAAGUCAAAUUUGCUCAACAGAAUUACCAUGAUAGACUUUCGCAAAUUCUAACAGAUUUCCCUAAGUUGGAUGACAUUCAUCUGUUCUAUGCUGAUUUGAUGAAUAUUCUCUACAACAAGAUCACUACAAUUUGGCUCUGGGGCAAAUAAAUGUUGCCAAAAAUUUAGUGGACAAUGUUGCUAAAGAUGACUUUGGCUGAUGAAGUACAGCGACCCCCGACUCCCUCUACGCAAGCAGCUGAAGUGUGCAGCCCCAGGGCGGAUGUGCACCAUGAUCAAGAGGCAGAAGCAGAGUUUGGAGUAUUUGGAGCAAGUGCAUCAGCAUUUAUCCCCUUUGCCACAACCAUUGAUCCAAAUACCAGGACUCUGCUUUUGGGUGGGUAUCCAAAUGUUGGGAAGUCCAGCUUCAUCAAUAAGGUGACAAGAGCAGAUGUGGAUGUCUGACCCUCUGCGUUCAUAAUCAAGUCUCUGUUUGUUGGGCACAUGGAUUCUAACUGUCUACACUGGCAGACUGUAGAUGCUCCUGGGAUCCUGGACCAUCCUCUGGAGGACAGGAACACCAUUGCGAUGCAGAUCACUGCCCUUGCCCAUCUCCGUGCUGCAGUCCCGUACGUGAUGGAUUUGUCUGAGCAGUGUAGGCACGGGCUGAGGGAGCAGCUAGAACUCUUCCAGAACAUCAGACCUCUCCUCAUCAACAAGACUCUUAUAGUUGUAGCCAACAAGUGUGAUGUGAAAAGAAUAGCCAAACUUUCUGAAGACGAUCAGAAAAUAUUUACAGAUUUGCAGGCUGAAGGAUUCCCUGUAAUAAAGACCAGAAUCCUGACUGAGGAAGGUGUUAUUAAAGUUAAAACAAAGGCUUGCGAUAGACUUUUGGCUCAUCGAGUGGAAACCAAAAUGAAGGGAAAUAAAGUGAAUGAAGCGCUGAAUAGACUGCACCUGGCUGUCCCAACCAGGAGGAACGAUAAGCAGAGGCCCCCUUUGAUCCCCGAAGGAGUGGUGGCACGCAGAAAGAGGAUGGAAAUGGAGGAGCCCAAGAAGAAGAGGAAAUGAGAUCUUGAGCUGGAAAUUGGAGGUGAUUAAAUUUUGGGUCUUCAGAAGUACUGGGAUUUAAUGAAUUCGUCUGAAAAACAUGAUAAGAUACCAGAAAUCUGGGAAGGCCAUAAUAUAGCUGAUUAUAUUGAUCCAGCCAUCAUGAAGAAAUGGGAAGAAUUAGAAAAAGGAGAAGGACUGAGAACAGCUGCCAGAGAGUAUGACAGUGACUCAGAGUGAAGAUGAGGAGAUGCUGGAAAUCUGACAGCAGGCAAAGCAGAUUAGAGAGAAAAAGAAGUUGAAAAUUCUGGAGUCCAAAGAAAAGAAUACACAGGGACCCAGGAUGCCUCGAACUGCUAAGAAGCUUCAGAGAACAGUUUUGGAGAAUGAGUCACGUAGUCUUGGUGUUGACAUUGACAAUAAAGACAACGCCCACUACGCAGUCCAGGCAAGACGAUCCCGGAGCGUCACUAGGAAAAGAAAGGGGAAGACUCUGCUCCCGCCUCCUCUGUGGCCCAGAGUUGGAGUUGCCCUCGAACUCCAAGUGAGGUUUCUGGUCUUUGGGAUGUCAAGAUGGUGGAGAAAGCCAAGACUAUGAUGAAGAAUGCUCAGAAGAAGAUGAAUCGAUUAGGGAAGAAAGGGGAGGCGGAUGGACAUGUGUUUGAUAUGAAGCCCAAGCACUUACUCUCCGGAGAGAGGAAAGCUGGCAGAAAGGACAGGAGAUAGGGUCCCUGCCAUUGGCGUGGCUCGGCGAGGCUGUUGCUGUUUAUUUGCUGACUUGGUACAGUAGGGUUUCAUGAAAUUGGAGCUAUCUGUAAACUGAAAAAGACAAAAUCAGUAAAGCACUUGUUGCUUUGCUGAAAACUAUGGUUAACCCUAUAUAGAUGUGGGAAAUGUUUGUCACUGCAUAAUAUUACAAAUAUUUUGAGCAGACAAUGUUCUACAUUUAAUGGAGUAUCUACCAAUCGCUUCAGAUUUUCAGAACUGGGAAGAUUUACUGGUGUAACUGGGUUAUUUUUGGGAGAAAAACCUUAUUUUCUUUAGUAAGAGCUUGGGAGCAAACACGUUUAUGAGUGUGUCAGUAUCCCAUGCUUAAAAUACCCCCUUAAAUUAUUUUCUAGUCUUUUUGUACAAUGUCUCAUUGUAAUCUGUCUUCAACUAUUUUAUCCAAAAUAAACCUCCAGAAGAAAG